rnacentral:rRNA from 1 species
UACGUAGGGUGCAAGCGUUGUCCGGAAUUAUUGGGCGUAAAGAGCUCGUAGGCGGUCUGUCGCGUCUGCUGUGAAAACUCGGGGCUUAACCCCGGGCCUGCAGUGGGUACGGGCAGACUAGAGUGCGGUAGGGGAGAAUGGAAUUCCCGGUGUAGCGGUGAAAUGCGCAGAUAUCGGGAGGAACACCGGUGGCGAAGGCGGUUCUCUGGGCCUUACCUGACACUGAGGAGCGAAAGCGUGGGGAGCGAACAGG